GGAACCUAUCAGGUAAGGCUCACCUGGGUGAUCCUGCACAAAUAUGCCUGACACCCAAAUUGUGAUGAUGAGCUUAAAUUAAUUACUAAAGCCUGAAUAUUUUGGAAUAUAAAAUUAAAUUUUAGGCUCACUAUUAACAUUAAAAUUGAAGUCUAGUUAAAUGGAUGUAAGUUUGUUAUUUUUGCAAAAGUGAAUCAUGUAAAGAUAAUAAUCAAUUGUCUCUUUACCUGGGCAUAACUAGAGAAUCAUGUGGAGAAACCACUGAAGCAGGGGGAAGCACAACCAGAUUAACCAUACUUGUCUCAGGUUCCAUAAGAAGGACCCCUGGCUCAAUAAUUCCAUCAGGAACUACCAUUGUAGUUCC